GGAUGAUGGGGUGGUUUCUCUACUGAAAAUCAACGGGGGUGCCCAUUGUUUUUUUAAAAAAACUGCAAAACAGGAGAUAAAAUCCCCGCAAAAAACUACCCUGGCGCCGCCGCCAUCACCCCGGCGGCCCGGCCCCCCGCGCCGCCAUGGCCGCACCGCCUGUCGCCGCCAAUUUCCGGCGCUCGCCGCGCAGCACAGCCUCCGCCGCCGAUGAGGGAUGCGCCCUGCCUCCUCCCCCUCUUCCUCGGCGGCCGACGGCAGUGGAGGGCCGCUCGACUUCUCCCUCCCGCGUUCGCGCCGCAGGCCGGUGGGUCGCUCACCUCUUCCGACCGUCCCCGCGGCGACCAAACCGUGGGCCGCAGCUCCCACAGGCGCCUCCGCGUCCUCCUUCGUCCCGCUGUUCACCCACUGACGCCGCUGAUUGAUCUCUCUCCCUGGCUCCCAGAAGACUUCUUCAAGUGAUAAAAAUACCAAGCCCUGCCCCUGUCAGGAUGGUAUUCAGAUUUGGCGUGAUAAUUGGGUACCUGGUGGGAAUCUCAGGGUCUCUGCCUGGCGCACUAGAACUCCCUGUUGUCGUGUGGCUGACCUGCUUCAACCGAAUUCUUAUGAAUGGAUAUGGAACAGCCAGCUGGUUAGGAACAUUUUUCAGAGAUUUGAUGCCGACGAAAUUCUGAAGAUCAGAUUGCCGCCUUCGGGGACGGAUGAUAUCCUUGAUUGGCAUUAUGAGCGAUCGGGGUCCUUCACGGUUCGUAGCGCCUAUCGCCUUGCUCUGAACAUGAAGCACCAUCUUGAUGCCACCAGUGGAAGCACUAAGGCAUCAUUGCCUUUGGUACCUUAUUUGGAAAACCCCGGUCCCUCCUAUUAAGGUUUUUGAUUGGAAGUUAGCGUCUCAUUCUCUGGUUCAAAUGAAUUUAUGUAGAUGCUUCAUGGAGGUUCUUCCCACCUGUUCUAUUUGUGGCAUGGAACCUGAGGAUGGCUUUCAUGCGAUCAUGGCCUGCACCAAAGCUAGAGCUCUCCGUACAAGUCUUCGUGCGAAAUGGCGCCUCUCCCCUGAGGAUGAUUUAAAAUACAUUGGUGAUGACCGGGUUCUUAUACUCCUUGACAGGUUUGAUGAAGACUGCCGCACCAAACUCUUGUUCUAUUGGUGGCGUGCCUGGCACUUGUGCAAUGAUGUAAUCUUUGGUAAAGGAGAUGCGUCAAUCGAAGCCUCUGCUCAGUACUUGUUUAAAUAUGCAGAUAUUCUGUCUGGGCUCAGUCAGCUCAAUCACCCUGCAAUCUCUAAAGGUAAAAACGUACUUGAUGGACGACCUAGGCCACCUCAUGCCACAACGAUGAACUGUGUACAGGAAAGGUUGACUCCCCCUGUUGCUUCUGUCCAUUCUAGCUUCUUUUCGGCAGACAACUCGGCUGCUUGGGGUGCUGUUCUUUGUGAUCACAGAGAUACUGUUUUGGGCUCAGCUUGGAACUUAAUUGAUCACUGUCCAGAUGCUGAAACGGCCGAAGCCACUGCUUGUCUGUCUGGUGUUCAGAGUCUCUGCAGGUUCUCUUCUCUACCUAUUAUUGUCAGAGUGUGACUCGGCUUCUGUGGUUCAAGCGAUCAGCAGUCCAGACCUCUCACGCUCUGCUAUCUCAGGCUGAUCUGCUAGCAUUAAAAGGUUGAAAGUUUUUUAUCUGGGUAUUUCUUUCUGUAAGAUUAACCGCUCUGCAAAUGAGGUUGCGAAUUGUAUUGCUCGUUGGAGCCGUAGUGUGUUGAGUGGUGGUGUUAUGCAUGAUGAUGUGCUGUCCUGCGCAACGAGCCUCAUUAUGCGUGAUUGUAAUCCAAACAUUAUUAUUAAGUAACAUGUAACCACUUAAAAAGAAA